rnacentral:rRNA from 1 species
CACGGGGGGGAGCGAACGUUGUUCGGAAUCACUGGGCGUAAAGGGCGUGUAGGCGGUUCGGUAAGUGGAAUGUGAAAUCCCCCCGGCUUACCCCGGGGAACUGCAUCCCAUACUGCUGGACUUGAGUGCGGGAGAGGAUGGAGGAAUUCCUGGUGUAGCGGUGAAAAUGCGUAGAUAUCAGGAGGAACACCUGUGGCGAAGGCGGGUUGCUGGGCUGACACUGACGCUGAGGCGCGAAAGCUAGGGGGAGCGAACGGG